GAGAAAGAAGAUGCCAAAAUACUGGUUGAUGACAUCUUUCCCAAGUUUUCCUGUCUUCUUUGCAUAAAUAUUUCCAGUCAUUGUAAGUGGGUGCAGUAUGGACUUUCUGGCUCACCUUGCACUUCUGACCUGCAGCUCAUCUUGGUUUGACCUCCAUUCAACAAGAUGCCCCUGUGCCAGCAGAUGGAGAUGCCACCACUGAUAGCCAAAACCUUGGAAAAGGCCCAGAGAAGCUUCCAGUACUUAUCCAGGAGACCCUGAUGUGGUAUUUAAUAUUUAUUUGUUGAAGACAAAAGUUAAAAAAACACAAGAAAAUGUGGCCCCAACAAUAGUCUGGAGGAUUACUAACAGCAAGAUUAUCUUCUAGCUUUCUACUAAAGAUAAGCCCCUUGAGGGAAGGGAUUGUUUUUGUUGCUCUGUUUGGCAUCUCCAGCAUUGUACCUAGAAAAUAGCAGACAGUUAAAAAUUCGUAGGAUCACAGAUUUGGAGCUGGAAGGAGUCUUAGAAGCCAUCUGGUCUAAUUCCUGCAUAUUUUAUAGGUGCCCAAAGGGUCACAGCUGUGGCAGGGCUGCUAUUCAAACUAAGGACCCCAGAUUCUCAGUCCAGUGCUUUUUCCAUUGUAUCAGACUUUUUUCCUGUUUAAUUGAACUGAUUUGUCAUUUCAUAACUAUCAGUUGUAGUUAUUUAAAGGUUUCCUCUAACUCUAGCCACACCAGAAAAGCAGGCUGGGAGCGACCCAGAUUCGGAUCAUGCCCAGCACUCUCAGCCAGUUGAAGUAGGUUUACAGCUCUGGCUAUCCUCUAGCCGAAGGAAGAUCAGGCAUGAAGACUGAUGUCCCACAUAGGAAGGGCAUUGCCCAGCAACAUGACCCCUUGUACAGUCUCAAGACUGCAAGUAUUACUAUUCAUCUCCCACCCACUAUUACCCCAGGUCUAACAAUCUCCCCUACCACGUGUUUCUCUCCCUUUAUUACUCAAAUACUGGCCAAAUAUGAAUGAACUAUCCCCAUCUCCCAUUCCCCUAUUCUCAUAUCCUUCCACCUUUCCUCACUCACAUUUCACUCUGAUCCUGCCCACCUCCUCUUCCAGUGUACUUUUUGGAAUUGCUGCUCCAUAGUGAACAAAGGUCUCCUUAUUAUGGACCUCUUUCUUUCAUUCUUCAUUAGGUAUCAAUAACUGGCUUCCCCCAAAGACACUGAAUCUUUUGUUUUCCUCUUUAUUACUGGCUAGAGAAGACUUCAUUCCUACUCCUCCCCACCCCUACCCUCUACCACACUGUUCCUGGAAGGGAGUAGGGAUAUGCCUUGCUUUCUAUUACCAUUUCAAGGCUCCCCUUUCAUCUCUCUUUCUUUGAAGUUCAUUUCAAUAAAAAAAAUUCCACCUAAUCUAAGUCAUGGUGGCUGUUGUGUAGGAGACUCCACGUCAUUAUCCCUUCUUUCUCAAGGAGUUCAGCACCUGGCUCACUGUAUUUCCCUCUUUCCCAAUUCCUAACUUUACACUAGGGGACUUCAACAUCCAUAAUGAUGAUACUUCAAACUCUCCUGCCUCUUAUAAUCUUAUAAUUAUGCCUUCCUACAAUCUUAUAAUCUACUCCAUCAUCCCAUUUUAUUCACACAAAGAAAUGGGCAAACAGUGGAUCUCACCAUUAUCCACAAUUUUCUAUUUCCUUAAUUAAAACCCUUACAUUCCUUAAUAUGACCAUAGCUUCUUAUUAUUCCAACUCUCCCUGCCUAAUCACUCCUAAACCAAUGCUUCAUCCUUUUUGGGUCCACUGAUCUUUCUAGUCUUCAGGAUUUUCUCAGGCCAUUAAUAAUUCCUGCUCUGAUUUAAUUUUCUUCCCUUACCAAUAUGGAUCCUAUGCUUAGUCAAUUAACUCCAUACUAUCUUGUACUCUUGACUCCCUUAGGUCCUUGUCCUGUUGCUGCACAUCCCUUGCCAAACCUCAGUCCAGUAUCACUUCCACCAUUUGCUUUCCUACUCAUUUGUCAUUGAAUGAAACUAGAAGUCAAGUAACUGUGCUAACUGCAUACACUCCAAAUUAAUUUAAUCUCACUUGACCUGAACCCUCUUCAGAAAAGCAGGUUUUUCAUACUUUUCUAACUGACACCUUCUUUCUCCAUAGAAACUAUUCCAGCCGUUUUUUUUUCUCUCCUCAGGUCUCCUAUACUCCCCCUUUAUUUCCUCCCUCUCGGCUGAGGAUCCUGUAUCUUAUUUUACUGAGAAAAUUGAGACCAUUUAACAGAAGCUCCCUCUUCUCUCUCCUUAACAUCUUUACUUACUUUCUUCUCCUUCUCCACAGUCCUUAACAAUGUGCUGUUUGCCAAGGUCUAACCCCCUACAAAUGCCCUCAUCCCCACUUACUCACAUUUCUUCCUGCAGAUUGUAACCUCAAUAAUCCCCCUUCUCUAUAAUCUUCAACCUCUUCUUAUCUACUGGUUCCUCCUCUGCUGCCUCCAAAUAUGCCCAAGUCAUCCUCAUCCUUGAAAAACCCUCACUAGAUUGUAUUAUCCUCUCAAGCUCUUAUCCUACAUCUCUCUUCCCUUUCUCAGCCAAAUUCCUAGAAAACAUUGUCUAUGAUCUGUGCCUCCAUUUUCUCUCCUUUUACACACUAUUCAACCCUUUACAAUAUAGCUUCCCACUUCAUCAUUCAACUGACACUUCUGACUCCAGAGUAAGCAACAAUCUUUUUAAUGACCACAUCUGAUGUGUCUUUCUCAGUCUUCAUCAUUCUCAUUCUACCUCAAUCAUUCUGUCAGUCAA